CAGUAUGCCAUAAUGAUCUCCCUCAUUCACGUCAGGUCAAAGUGCAGCUAAUGAUGGGGAGAUGAUGGGUUACACCCUAAACACAGAUACCAAAUAAAGCACUAAAAGUUUUAUGAAGGUGGACUUGGAUGUAAUAAUAAUUUUAUAUUAUAAUGAAUACGAAUCUAAGACAUGCACACAUCGCCCGUCACUCUCGCCUAAAGGCG
rnacentral:rRNA from 1 species